UGCGUAGGCGGAUGUGUUAGUCAGGUGUUAAAUCUUUGGGCUCAACCCAAAAAUCGCAUUUGAAACGGCACAUCUAGAAGACGUCAGAGGUUAGCAGAACUCACGGUGUAGGGGUGAAAUCCGUUGAUAUCGUGGGGAAUACCAAAUGCGAAGGCAGCUAACUGGGGCGUUCUUGACGCUGAGGCACGAAAGCCAGGGUAGCGAACG
rnacentral:rRNA from 1 species